rnacentral:rRNA from 1 species
GACGAACGCUGGCGGCGUGCUUAACACAUGCAAGUCGAACGGAAAGGCCUGCUUUCCCUUGUGGAUUGCGGGUACUCGAGUGGCGAACGGGUGAGUAACACGUGAGUGAUCUGCCCCCAACUUGGGUAUAAGCCUGGGAAACUGGGUCUAAUUCCCGAUAGGACUGCAGGGUGGUGCCUGUGGUGGAAAACGAUUUUCUAGUGGUUGGGGAUGAGCUCGCGGCCUAUCAGCUGGUUGGUGGGGUAAUGGCCUACCAAGGCGGCGACGGGUAGCCGGCCUGAGAGGGUGGGCGGCCACAUUGGGACUGAGAUACGGCCCAGACUCCUACGGGAGGCAGCAGUGGGGAAUAUUGCACAAUGGGCGGAAGCCUGAUGCAGCGACGCCGCGUGGGGGAUGACGGCCUUCGGGUUGUAACCUCCUUUCGACCGCGAGGAAGCCACCUGGUUGGAAGGGUGGUGACGGUAGUGGUAGAAGAAGCACCGGCUAACUACGUG